rnacentral:rRNA from 1 species
UGGGCAACCUGCCCCUCUCUCUGGGAUAACCCCCGGGAAACCGGAGCUAAUACCGGAUACUCCGGCUGGAUCGCAUGGUCCGGCCGGGAAAGGUCCGCCGGAGAGGGAUGGGCCCGCGGCCUAUCAGCUUGUUGGUGGGGUAACGGCCUACCAAGGCGACGACGGGUAGCUGGUCUGAGAGGACGACCAGCCACACUGGAACUGAGAUACGGUCCAGACUCCUACGGGAGGCA